AAAUGUUAGGAAAGUCCAUGCUAGCACAGCCUGCGAUGGCUGUAGUGUUUGUGCCAGUCCAAUAAAUAAGGCUGGGUACCUUUAUGGUAACGGCAACGUAUAACCUAAGUCCUUGAUAUGGUUAUAUAUAACGUGCCACAGUGACGAUACUACUAGAAAUGGUAGAGUGAAACGAGGUAAACCCCUCAAGCUAGAAACCCAAAUUUGGUAGGGGAAUUUCCAAGAGCGAAAUGAAGCUUAAGGAAGAUACGAAAGUAUAGAUAAAUGAUUACCACUAGAAAUAGAACAGAACAUGGCUUAU
rnacentral:RNase_P_RNA from 1 species